rnacentral:rRNA from 1 species
AGGCAACUUGGGGUUAUAUGGUCAAGCGAAUAAGCGCACACGGUGGAUGCCUAGGCGGUCAGAGGCGAUGAAGGACGUGGUAGCCUGCGAAAAGUGUCGGGGAGCUGGCAACAAGCUUUGAUCCGGCAAUAUCCGAAUGGGGAAACCCACUGCUUCGGCAGUAUCCUGCAGUGAAUUCAUAGCUGCUGGAAGCGAACCCGGUGAACUGAAAUAUCUAAGUAACCGGAGGAAAAGAAAUCAACCGAGAUUCCCUAAGUAGUGACGAGCGAACGGGGAGCAGCCCUUAAGCUGGAAUGGCUUUAGAAAAACAAUCUGGAAAGAUUGGCCAUAGAAGGUGAUAGCCCUGUAUUUAAAAGGGCCACUCCAGUGAAGACGAGUAGGGCGGGGCACGUGAAACCCUGUCUGAAUAUGGGGGGACCAUCCUCCAAGGCUAAAUACUCCUGACCGACCGAUAGUGAACCAGUACCGUGAGGGAAAGGCGAAAAGAACCCCGGAGAGGGGAGUGAAAUAGAUCCUGAAACCGUGUGCGUACAAGCAGUAGGAGCUCGCAAGAGUGACUGCGUACCUUUUGUAUAAUGGGUCAGCGACUUACUGUUCGUGGCAAGCUUAACCGUAUAGGGGAGGCGAAGGGAAACCGAGUCUGAUAAGGGCGCAUAGUCGCGGGCAGUAGACCCGAAACCGGGUGAUCUAGUCAUGGCCAGGGUGAAGGUGCCGUAACAGGUACUGGAGGCCCGAACCCACGUCUGUUGCAAAAGACGGGGAUGAGCUGUGAUUAGGAGUGAAAAGCUAAUCGAACCCGGAGAUAGCUGGUUCUCCUCGAAAGCUAUUUAGGUAGCGCCUCAUAUGUAUCCUCUCGGGGGUAGAGCACUGUUAUGGCUAGGGGGUCAUCGCGACUUACCAAACCAUUGCAAACUCCGAAUACCGAGACGGACUGUAUGGGAGACACACGGCGGGUGCUAACGUCCGUCGUGAAAAGGGAAACAACCCAGACCCACAGCUAAGGUCCCAAAUUCACUGCUAAGUGGAAAACGAUGUGGAAAGGCAUAGACAGCCAGGAGGUUGGCUUAGAAGCAGCCACCCUUUAAAGAAAGCGUAAUAGCUCACUGGUCGAGUCGGUCUGCGCGGAAGAUUUAACGGGGCUAAGCAGUGAACCGAAGCUUGGGGUGCAUAAAACUUGUUUUAUGCGCGGUAGAGGAGCGUUCCGUAAGCCUGCGAAGGUGGAUUGAGAAGUCUGCUGGAGGUAUCGGAAGUGCGAAUGCUGACAUGAGUAACGAUAAUGCGGGUGAAAAGCCCGCACGCCGAAAGCCCAAGGUUUCCUUGCGCAACGUUAAUCGACGCAGGGUUAGUCGGUCCCUAAGGCGAGGGCGAAAGCCGUAGUCGAUGGGAAGCAGGUUAAUAUUCCUGCACCUCGCGUGAGUGCGAUGGAGGGACGGAGAAGGUUAGGUGUACCGGGCGUUGGUUGUCCCGGGGAAAGGCGGUAGGUUUGGAUCUUUGGCAAAUCCGGGAUCCUUUAAGACCGAGCACCGAGACGAGCCUUUAUGGCGAAGUCACUGAUACCACGCUUCCAGGAAAAGCUCCUAAGCUUCAGCUCACGAAGACCGUACCGUAAACCGACACAGGUGGGUAGGAUGAGAAUUCUCAGGCGCUUGAGAGAACUCGGGUGAAGGAACUAGGCAACAUGGCACCGUAACUUCGGGAGAAGGUGCACCCUUUUUGGUGGCUCGUGCGAGCUAUAGCUGAAGAGGGUCGCAGAAACCAGGCCGCUGCGACUGUUUAUCAAAAACACAGCACUCUGCAAACACGAAAGUGGACGUAUAGGGUGUGACGCCUGCCCGGUGCUGGAAGGUUAAUUGAUGGGGUCAGCCGCAAGGCGAAGCUCUUGAUCGAAGCCCCAGUAAACGGCGGCCGUAACUAUAACGGUCCUAAGGUAGCGAAAUUCCUUGUCGGGUAAGUUCCGACCUGCACGAAUGGCGUAACGACAGCGGCGCUGUCUCCACCCGAGACUCAGUGAAAUUGAAAUCGCUGUGAAGAUGCAGCGUUCCCGUGGCAAGACGGAAAGACCCCGUGAACCUUUACUAUAGCUUUACACUGAACGUUGAGUUCGUCUGUGUAGGAUAGGUGGGAGGCUAUGAAACUGUGGCGCUAGCUGCAGUGGAGCCAUCCUUGAAAUACCACCCUGUCGUGCUUGACGUUCUAACCUAGGUCCGUUAUCCGGAUCAGGGACCGUGUAUGGUGGGUAGUUUGACUGGGGCGGUCUCCUCCUAAAGAGUAACGGAGGAGCACGAAGGUACGCUCAGCGCGGUCGGACAUCGCGCACUGUGUGCAAAGGCAUAAGCGUGCUUGACUGCAAGAUCGACGGAUCAAGCAGGUACGAAAGUAGGUCUUAGUGAUCCGGUGGUUCUGUAUGGAAGGGCCAUCGCUCAACGGAUAAAAGGUACUCCGGGGAUAACAGGCUGAUACCGCCCAAGAGUUCAUAUCGACGGCGGUGUUUGGCACCUCGAUGUCGGCUCAUCACAUCCUGGGGCUGUAGUCGGUCCCAAGGGUAUGGCUGUUCGCCAUUUAAAGUGGUACGCGAGCUGGGUUCAGAACGUCGUGAGACAGUUCGGUCCCUAUCUGCCAUGGGCGUUGGAAGUUUGAGAGGGGCUGCUCCUAGUACGAGAGGACCGGAGUGGACGAACCUCUGGUGUUCCGGUUGUCACGCCAGUGGCAUUGCCGGGUAGCUAUGUUCGGAAGCGAUAACCGCUGAAAGCAUCUAAGCGGGAAGCGCGCCUCAAGAUGAGACUUCCCGGGGCACAAGCCCCCUAAAGGAACCAUGUAGACUACGUGGUUGAUAGGUCAGGUGUGUAAGUACAGCAAUGUAUUGAGCUAACUGAUACUAAUGAUCCGUGCGGCUUGACC